UGGGGAAUAUUGGACAAUGGGCGAAAGCCUGAUCCAGCCAUGCCGCGUGUGUGAAGAAGGUCUUCGGAUUGUAAAGCACUUUAAGUUGGGAGGAAGGGCAGUAAGCGAAUACCUUGCUGUUUUGACGUUACCGACAGAAUAAGCACCGGCUAACUCUGUGCCAGCAGCCGCGGUAAUACAGAGGGUGCAAGCGUUAAUCGGAAUUACUGGGCGUAAAGCGCGCGUAGGUGGUUCGUUAAGUUGAAUGUGAAAGCCCCGGGCUCAACCUGGGAACUGCAUCCAAAAAUGGCGAGCUAGAGUAGGGCAGAGGGUGGUGGAAUUUCCUGUGUAGCGGUGAAAUGCGUAGAUAUAGGAAGGAACACCAGUGGCGAAGGCGACCACAUGGGCUCAUACUGACACUGAGGUGCGAAAGCGUGGGGAGCAAACAGG
rnacentral:rRNA from 1 species